rnacentral:SRP_RNA from 1 species
CCGUGCUAAGCGGGGAGGUAGCGGUGCCCUGUACCCGCAAUCCGCUCUAGCGGGGCCGAAUCCCUUCUCGAGGUUCGUUUACUUUAAGGUCUGCCUUAAGUAAGUGGUGUUGACGUUUGGGUCCUGCGCAAUGGGAAUUCAUGAACCAUGUCAGGUCCGGAAGGAAGCAGCAUUAAGUGAAACCUCUCAUGUGCCGCAGGGUUGCCUGGGCCGAGCUAACUGCUUAAGUAACGCUUAGGGUAGCAAAUCGACAGAAGGUGCACGG